CAGGUCUUGACAUCCCUCUGACCGCUCUAGAGAUAGAGUUUUCCUUCGGGACAGAGGUGACAGGUGGUGCAUGGUUGUCGUCAGCUCGUGUCGUGAGAUGUUGGGUUAAGUCCCGCAACGAGCGCAACCCCUAUUGUUAGUUGCCAUCAUUCAGUUGGGCACUCUAGCGAGACUGCCGGUAAUAAACCGGAGGAAGGUGGGGAUGACGUCAAAUCAUCAUGCCCCUUAUGACCUGGGCUACACACGUGCUACAAUGGCUGGUACAACGAGUCGCAAGCCGGUGACGGCAAGCUAAUCUCUUAAAGCCAGUCUCAGUUCGGAUUGUAGGCUGCAACUCGCCUACAUGAAGUCGGAAUCGCUAGUAAUCGCGGAUCAGCACGCCGCGGUGAAUA
rnacentral:rRNA from 1 species